AUGCGAAUUGCAGAAUCCGCGAGUCAUCAGAUCUUUGAACGCAAGUGGUGGAGGUGUAAAAACCUUCAUGUUUGUU
rnacentral:rRNA from 1 species